rnacentral:rRNA from 1 species
AGUGAACGCUGGCGGUAGGCCUAACACAUGCAAGUCGAACGGCAGCACAGGAGAGCUUGCUCUCUGGGUGGCGAGUGGCGGACGGGUGAGGAAUACAUCGGAAUCUACCUUUUCGUGGGGGAUAACGUAGGGAAACUUACGCUAAUACCGCAUACGACCUACGGGUGAAAGUGGGGGAACGCAAGGCCUCACGCGAUUAGAUGAGCCGAUGUCCGAUUAGCUAGUUGGCGGGGUAAUGGCCCACCAAGGCGACGAUGGGUAGCUGGUCUGAGAGGAUGAUCAGCCACACUGGAACUGAGACACGGUCCAGACGCCUACGGGAGGCAGCAGUGGGGAGUAUUGGACAAUGGGCGCAAGCCUGAUCCAGCCAUACCGCGUGGGUGAAGAAGGCCUUCGGGUUGUAAAGCCCUUUUGUUGGGAAAGAAAUCCUGUCGAUUAAUACUCGGUGGGGAUGACGGUACCCAAAGAAUAAGCACCGGCUAACUUCGUGCCAGCCGCCGCGGUAAAAC